rnacentral:rRNA from 1 species
UACGAAGGGUGCAAGCGUUACUCGGAAUUACUGGGCGUAAAGCGUGCGUAGGUGGUGAGUUAAGUCUGAUGUGAAAUCCCCGGGCUCAACCUGGGAAUGGCAUUGGAUACUGGCUCGCUCGAGUGCGGUAGAGGGUGGUGGAAUUCCCGGUGUAGCAGUGAAAUGCGUAGAGAUCGGGAGGAACAUCUGUGGCGAAGGCGGCCACCUGGACCGCACUGACACUGAGGCACGAAAGCC